AUUGAACGCUGGCGGAAUGCUUUACACAUGCAAGUCGAACGGGGUUUAAGAGCUUGCUCUUAAACAUAGUGGCGAACGGGUGAGUAAUAUAUCGGAACGUAUCCAAUAAUGGGGGAUAACUAGUCGAAAGAUUGGCUAAUACCGCAUACGUCCUACGGGAGAAAGCUGGGGAUCGUAAGACCUGGCGUUAAUGGAGCGGCCGAUAUCUGAUUAGCUAGUUGGUGGGGUAAAGGCUCUCCAAGGCGACGAUCAGUAGCUGGUCUGAGAGGACGACCAGCCACACUGGAACUGAGACACGGUCCAGACUCCUACGGGAGGCAGCAGAGGGGAAUUUUGGACAAUGGGCGAAAGCCUGAUCCAGCCAUUCCGCGUGAGUGAAGAAGGCCUUCGGGUUGUAAAGCUCUUUCGCAAGAGAAGAAAACUUACCUAAUAACACUAGGUGAGGUUGACGGUACCUUGAUAAGAAGCACCGGCUAACUACGUGCCAGCCGCCGCGGUAA
rnacentral:rRNA from 1 species